rnacentral:rRNA from 1 species
GUCCACGCCGUAAACGAUGCGCACUAGAUACGAGUGACUCUGACGUUGUUCGUGUCGAAACAAAGCGUUAAGUGCGCCGCCUGGGGAGUACGGCCGCAAGGCUAAAACUCAAAGGAAUUGACGGGGGCUCACACAAGCGGUGGAGCAUGUGGAUUAAUUCGAAGCAACGCGAAGAACCUUACCUAGGUUUGACAUGCACGGAUGGUCUCGGGGAAACUCGAGUAAUCUGCCUUCGGGUGAAACGUGCACAGGUGCUGCAUGGCUGUCGU